rnacentral:lncRNA from 1 species
AUGUGAUAAUCAGAGCCUCUGAGAAUGCGUGUCCUCCAGUUUUCAGUGCAUACAACACAGCUUCCUCAUGCGGAUACAGCACAUCUUUAGUAUAAGCUCAAUAUCUGCAGAGGUACAGCACGCAAUGUCUACAACAAAGACCUCUGGCCUCAUCCUAUGAGCUACCAGUACCCACAUGAGUUGUAUUCUAGCCUAGGAUGCUCCUGGGCAGGUAGGGCAUCCCAGGCAGGGGCUAUACACCAACGUGGUCUUGUCUGACUAAAUCACAUGACAGUGAAGCUAUGACCCCAUGCCCUUUACUUUUUCUUAUCAGACCAGUGAUGCGAUGAAGUUUGCUGAGUGUUUAUAUAAACCAAUGAUUUUUAAGGAGAACCUGACAUGCAAACAAUCUCCCUUCAAGUAAACAAUCCUUCUACAUGCCAAAGAAGAUAGCUCAUGAAAGAUGAAGCCAGAAAGCCAUGGAUGUAAUACUGACCCUACCACUCACUAAAUGUACAUUACUUCACUUUUCUUAAACUGAGGUCCAUCCAACUCCUAGAGUUGCUAACUACUUCAAAGACAGCAAGUGCAAAACGGCUGGGACAUAGGUGGACAGUGCAUAGCAGGCACAGUGCAUAGCAGGCAGACAGUGCAUAGCAGGCGGACAGUGCAUAGCAGGCGGACAGUGCAUAGCAGGCGGACAGUGCAUAGCAGGCGGACAGUGCAUAGCAGGCGGACAGUGCAUAGCAGGCGGACAGUGCAUAGCAGGCGGACAGUGCAUAGCAGGCGGACAGUGCUUGCUAUUUCCAUUGUUCUUUCAGGUAAGAAACACGUUGCGGGCUCAGGAGAUGGCUGGGUGGUUAAGAGCACUUGCUGCUCUGCAGAGGAUCCUGGUUUGAUUCCCAGGUACUACAUGAAGCUCACAAUGAUCUGUGGUUCUAGUUCUAGGGAACUGACACCCUCUUCUGACCUCCAUGAACACAAAGUGUACGUGGUCCACAGAUGCACAUGCAAGCAAGCAUUCGUAGACAUAAAAAUCAAUCUUUAUGAAAAAUUAUAUUUAAAAAACACGACUAUUAAAGUGAGGUGCUCCAUUUAAAUAAGCUGUUCAGCUAAGUAGUUUCAUACACAUGCUUCAAUGCAGUGAGUUUUCUGCUCUAAAUUAUUCAGAAACACUCUUAUCCAUACGUGGUUAUUAUACAUGCUCAAGAUACUUUCAAUGGCAUUCAUUUCUUUAAUUUCAAAACUUUGUUAUGAUCUCAAAGUACUAUCUCUAACAUUAGGAACCUGUAUCCUAUUUAUUUAAUCAUGCCCACGAGGCAAUAAUACAGCUUCCCAGAAUUCACCUGUGCGCCCGAGCCCUGCGUGGCAGUGCACAGCUACUUUUCCUUCCUGUAAGGCAAAUGUCAUCACCUUUACCAUGUCUAAGAUGGCAGUGAGGGAGGCCACGCCAUAUCCUUCCACCCGAAGUUGUAGAAAUAAACUAGGGCAGUGAGAGGAAAAAGAAAAACAAAAUUAAUAUGCAUGAAAAAUACUUGCAAGGACAGUUGAAAAAUCAGUUCCAAGACAUGGAGAAUUCACCAACUGAGCAGACAUUAAGAUAAGAGUCGGGGUUGGGGAUUUAGCUAAGUGGUAGAGCGCUUGCCUAGCAAGCGCAAGGCCCUGGGUUCGGUUCCCAGCUCCAGGAAAAAAAAAAAAAAAGAUAAGAGUCAUUUAGGUUUUGACACAGGGAUCGCCCUGGUUGGCCUGAAGCUGUAUGUUCAAUCCAGGAUGGUCCUGAACUCACAGGGAUCCACCUGCCUCUGCUUCUUGAAUUCUGGAAUUAAAGGUUGAGCACAAUGUCCACCUAACAGGAUUUUAGAUUUCUAGGGAGUUUAACUUAACAUUCCUGCAAGCACAUCCCUUAUUAUUGCCCUUUUAACCCACAGCCUGGAAGACAAAGUCCUCUCCGAGUGGGAUAAUCGGGGUGGGGAGAAACUUACUGCCCGCCUCCAUAAAUGCCUCUGGAAGGUAUGUGAAACCACUUUCUUGUUCCAGAGAGUUCCCACAGCUGGCAUGCUCCCCAGGACGCUGCAGGUUGAUUAUUGUUUUUAUGCCAUGACUUCAAAAAGAAAGAGCAAUCGGUUAUAAGGACCUGGAGUUGUGAAAAAUUGGAUUUUAAUAUUAGUAAAACAUUAUUCAUUGCUCUCUAACUUUUAUUUGAAAUCAGCUCCUCACUGCCUGUUUUUCAAGUGAAGCCCUCUUCACUUGCUCCCAUAAUCAUCUAAAGGAAAGAGCGUUGAAUCUAUUUAGCAUGGCUGUGGAUGGUGUAGUACUUACCUGAGGAACUGCUCAAUGAUGUGAUACUUCUCCAGCAGCUCAGAGGAUGGGCGAGCCAUGGCCAGGAUAUUGUCAGUGACCCUGAAGAUGGGCACGGAACAACUGAGAAGCACAGAACUCAGGAGAGUCUACACUACAGGAUUGGCUGUGCUCGCGCUCUCCUGUGCUCGCUGCACAAAUGGUAUUUCAGUGGUUGCGGACGGAAGCAUAGCUACUGCUCGAGAUGAGGCACCAAUCUACGCUUUUAAAAUUCCACCCUCAGAGCCCUGCAUCGUGUACUUUUGUGAAACAAGACGGAGACAGAGAAGUCUAAUUUGAUGCCCCAAUUGCUACUUUAUCUGUAGUCUCACACGGAAAUGGAAAAGGAUGAGGAUUCCACCUGCCUCUCCCACCUUCAGAAAGUACUUACUCUGCCUGAGAGAAUGGCCUGAAAAGUGUUCUAGUUACUACUACUACUGGACCUUUAGAAUUACUGGACCUUUAGAGGAAACCAUGGAAGAUACUGGAAGAAAGCAAGGAGGGACCUGAAGGCAGGAGGCCCUGUGGGCUGUGCCUGUUUCUCUGGUGACUGAGAAGACCUUGGAGCAGGCCCCUGGUAUUCUGGGCAGGAGACAGCUGGUUCACACUAACUGAUAUCCAGGCGGUAGGAGAAACCCUCAAGCUCUGUGGCAGGCACAGAUAUUUAAGGCAACAGGGAGGAGGUGCCAGUCAGUGAGUGAUUCCAGAAAACAGGCAAUGAAGGAUGUCUACAGAGGGAGCUAGAAGUGGCUCUGCUCCACACUGUACUAAAAUCCAAAGUGAUCUGAUGUGGGGGAUUUGCUUGGACUAAGCUAAGGGAGGGAUGGUUUCUAUAUCACCUCAGAAACAGCUCUGCAGCUCACACUCACAUGGCCCAAGGAACAAGAACUCUGUGUUGUAACUCUCCCCCCAAGUUUUGAGAUACUUCAAAAAGAUACUAUAAUGAAAACCCAAGGGUCUGUGUUAUGCACUGCUCAGCAAAUAGAAUUGCAGAGUCUACUUUAAAAUGGGUCAUCAGAGAUGCCAGCAAGAACAAUUUUCAGUGGACUGCAGAGGCAGAGGCCAGAGUUGAUGUGAGGUUGGACAAGCAACAGAGGUGGCUGUGAGUCAGCAGAGGUGUUAUAAAGUUUAGCUGUGACAGGAAGAGAAAGGCCUCGGAAGAAGUAGAGGGAAAGGUCUAGAGACAACCAUAGGUAGUAAGAAUAUGGGUGGGGGCUGAGUUAAAAUCAGGACAGUGUUGGAGAAGUUCUGUCUUUAGAUAUUUGAAAACACUCCAAGUUCAAGGAAUGCCUUGAGGGGAGGAAUUAGGAUUAAUACUGAUAGAGAAGCAGACUCCGACCCAACACUAGUUGUUUUACAGGUAGUGAAAGGAACGCACAGCUGGAAAGUCAGCACCACUGGCAAACUCUGCAUGUGGCUCUUCUGUAGACCUAAGAACAUGAGUGCGUGGACCUCUCCUCCCUGGAACACCUACAAGGAUUCCUGCCAUAUGGGUUUGUCUGACAGGAAACAGCCCUUGUUGAAACCCUGAAAUCGGAAGAAAACGCCCAGUCCUUGGAGGGCCAGGCCUCCUGGGAUGCCUGGGAUUUGAACUACUACUGGAACAAUCAAAGAGGAAAAGCCGAGUACACACUUGCUCCUGCUGAACUGGCUCGUUUUCCUUGUGCUGACCGAGAGAAUGUGUACUUUUGUGUUUGUAUGUGAGAUCGCAUUUUUCUCCUGAAGUAUUACUCUAAGCUUGGUUCUGCCUAGCUGCAAGCAGGCAGUGGCCACACGAGCUGCUAGCUCAGACCCUGGCCAGGCAUCUGCCAUCUCCACACUCUAAGGAAGUGGCUAUGGCAGGGGCCUAAGGGCACGGGAUGGUCCUGUGGGUUACAUCUGAUUUUGAAUUCCUGCUUUUUUCUUGUAGCACGUCUUCUUUUUCUAACAGUAGUGUGUUUGGAAGUGGAGAGAGGAGAGAGAUGGGAGCUGAAUGGCGUGUCCUCUGCUUUAUGUUCACAAAGUGAAGAAAGCUGAACGUUCUCUCCACGUGCUUAUGCGGACACUGCAUUGCCAGCGGAGGGAAGCACAGGUUAGCUGUUAGAAGAGUGUGAGGACAUGGCAGCAGUGUGGUGCUUGUGAUCUGCACAUACAUUCAAUAAUGAAGAAGACAGACGCUCAAGGACGAGCAGGCUGUGCAAGUGGUAACGUGCUGGAGAUUCACUCUGUAAAACCUCCUCACCUGCGAAGUGUCCUGGAAAGCACAGUCCUUCAAAAAAUUACUCUCAUACUAAAAUAUUUCCAUGUUAUGUAAGACAUGAAAUGGGUACUGAAGUUGCCUAUUGAUUCUGUCACCUAAAAACGCGGCUUUGGGGUUAACGCUUGUGUGUGGCAUAAGGCACAGUCCCACCACAGUCUUUCUGCAUGUGAAUGGGCCAGUGGUUUGUCAUCCUUUGUUGAACAGACUAGCAUCGCAUGUGGAAUUGUCCUGCUACCUUUGUCAUACACACAAAGAUGAUUUCUGGUUCAUUCUAUUAUACUAUAUUUGUCAUUAUUUUGAUGAAAUAGCAUUGCAUGAAAGUUUUUAGGCUAGGAAAUGAAUCUGUUUUGUUAUUUCUCAUGAUUAUUUUGCCUGUUUGAAGGUCCUUUGAGAUUCUUCCUACAAUCGGCAUGGGCUUUUCUUUCCCAUGCCCAGGGGAUUCUGAUGGGGAUUGUGCUCACUCUGUAGAUCAUAUUACAUCAAAACAGUGCUGUUUUCUGGUUCAUGCAUAGCCAGUCACCGCCUUUAUCUGGCCCCAUGGUUCUCCUUACUAAUCUUCUCCAUCUCCAGUGUAGCACCCCGAGAGUGUUAAAGUCCACCUUGCCCCUCACUCCACUUCAUCUGCAGCUGUGGCAUACCACCUCAGGAAAG